rnacentral:ncRNA from 2 species
GAAACGCACCGGGGGUGUCUGCAUCUGCUUCAGCACUGGCUUAUUGGGCCAGGGCAAGAGCAGGUCAGGCUGAGAAAGUCCCUUCGCACCUGAACAGGAUAAUGCCUGCGUAGGGAGUGUGCAUUUUCUUGUUU